rnacentral:rRNA from 1 species
AGCGAACGCUGGCGGCAGGCCUAACACAUGCAAGUCGAACGAACCUUUCGGGGUUAGUGGCGGACGGGUGAGUAACACGUGGGAACGUGCCUUUAGGUUCGGAAUAACUCAGGGAAACUUGUGCUAAUACCGAAUGUGCCCUUCGGGGGAAAGAUUAAUCGCCUUUAGAGCGGCCCGCGUCUGAUUAGCUAGUUGGUUGAGGUAAUGGCUCACCAAGGCGACGAUCAGUAGCUGGUCUGAGAGGAUGAUCAGCCACAUUGGGACUGAGACACGGCCCAAACUCCUACGGGAGGCAGCAGUGGGGAAUCUUGCGCAAUGGGCGAAAGCCUGACGCAGCCAUGCCGCGUGAAUGAUGAAGGUCUUUGGAUUGUAAAAUUCUUUCACCGGGGACGAUAAUGACGGUACCCGGAGAAGAAGCCCCGGCUAACUUCGUG